AACUGGGGGAUAGCCCGCCGAAAGGCGGAUUAAUACCGCAUAAGCUCUUUGAGUGGCAUCACUUGAUUAGUAAAGAUUCAUUGGUUAUAGAUGGGGUUGCGGGUCAUUAGCUAGUUGGUAAGGUAACGGCUUACCAAGGCGACGAUGACUAGGGGAGCUGAGAGGCUGGUCCCCCACACGGGCACUGAGAUACGGGCCCGACUCCUACGGGAGGCAGCAGUAGGGAAUAUUGGGCAAUGGGCGAGAGCCUGACCCAGCCAUGCCGCGUGCAGGAAGAAGGCUUUCUGAGUCGUAAACUGCUUUUGACAGGGAAGAAUAAGCUUCACGUGUGGAGCGAUGACGGUACCUGCAGAAUAAGCACCGGCUAACUCCGUGCCAGCAGCCGCGGUAAUACGGAGGGUGCGAGCGUUGUCCGGAUUUAUUGGGUUUAAAGGGUGCGUAGGCGGCUCCUUAAGUCCGGGGUGAAAGCCCGUUGCUCAACAACGGAACUGCCCUGGAUACUGAGGAGCUUGAGUACAGACGAGGUUGGCGGAAUGGACAGAGUAGCGGUGAAAUGCAUAGAUACUGUCCA
rnacentral:rRNA from 1 species